rfam:TPA: Bos taurus chromosome 3, whole genome shotgun sequence.
UCCCUGGUGGUCCAGUGGUCAGGACUCUGGUACUUUCACUGCCAUGACCUGGGUUCAAUCCCUGAUCAGUGAA